rnacentral:rRNA from 1 species
CCUACGGGGGGCAGCAGUGAGGAAUAUUGGACAAUUGGCGCUAGCCUGAACCAGCAAAGUCGCGUGAAGGAUGACUGCCCUAUGGGUUGUAAACUUCUUUUAUAUGGGAAUAAAGUGCAGUAUGUAUACUGCUUUGCAUGUACCUUAUGAAUCAGGAUCGGCUAACUCCGUGCCAGCAGCCGCGGUAAUACGGAGGAUCCGAGCGUUAUCCGGAUUUAUUGGGUUUAAAGGGAGCGUAGGCGGGUUGUUAAGUCAGUUGUGAAAGUUUGCGGCUCAACCGGAAAAUUGCAGUUGAUACUGGCAGCCUUGAGUACAGUAGAGGUAGGCGGAAUUCGUGGUGUAGCGGUGAAAUGCUUAGAUAUCGCGAAGAACUCCGAUUGCGAAGGCAGCCUGCUGGACUGUAACUGACGCUGAUGCUCGAAAGUGUGGGUAUCAAACAGGAUUAGAUACCCGUGUAGUC